rnacentral:rRNA from 1 species
UUCUGCCCUAUCAAUUUUCGAUGGUAGGAUAGGGGCCUACCAUGGUUGUAACGGGUAACGGGGAAUAAGGGUUCGAUUCCGGAGAGGGAGCCUGAGAAACGGCUACCACAUCUAAGGAAGGCAGCAGGCGCGCAAAUUACCCAAUCCUGAUUCAGGGAGGUAGUGACAACAAAUAACAAUACAGGGCUCUAUGAGUCUUGUAAUUGGAAUGAGUACGAUUUAAAUCCCUUCACAAGGAACAAUUGGAGGGCAAGUCUGGUGCCAGCAGCCGCGGUAAUUCCAGCUCCAAUAGUGUAUAUUAAAGUUGUUGCAGUUAAAAAGCUCGUAGUUGAAUUUUUAGGCCUUUGGUUUGGCUGGUCUCGCUUUUUUGGUGGGUACUAAGUUGAGCUAGGCCUUUUUUGCUUGGGGAAGUAGUGUGCUCUUUAUUGAGUGUGCUAGGGAUCUGGGCUGUUUACUUUGAAAAAAUUAGAGUGUUUAAAGCAAGCAUGAUUGCUUGAAUAUAUUAGCAUGGAAUAAUAGAACAGGAUCUUUGAUCUGUUUCUGUUGGUUUUUGGAUUAAAGAUAAUGAUUAAUAGGGAUAGUUGGGGGCAUUAGUACUCCGAUGUCAGAGGUGAAAUUCUUGGAUUUUCGAAAGACUAACUUCUGCGAAAGCAUUUGCCAAGGAUGUUUUCAUUAAUCAAGAACGAAAGUUAGGGGAUCGAAGAUGAUUAGAUACCGUCGUAGUCUUAACCAUAAACUAUGCCGACCAAGGAUCGGA